ACCUCUGGACGCCUGACACAGAGAACAGGACGUCUCCCUGGGGAACCAUGGUUGCAGGUGGACCAGGAAAUCUUUCCCGGAGAGAUGGACUGUCUGAAAUUGAAUGCAACACCUGUGCAGGUGUUCACAUGUGCAGUGUGACCUCCAACAAGGGAGCCAUAAAAAAGGGAGAAAGAAAAAAGUCAAGAGAGCUUUAAAACUGGAGCGGCAUUUGAUUUAUAUUCACCUAAGGAGAUGGAAAAUGAUUUCACUUUUUCAGUUUCAAGAGAGUGACUGAACUCCUAAUGCAAGAACUUAUAUGAAUCUAUAUAUGACUUUGAUGAAAAAACCAUCUUUUGGCAUUUUCUGAAAGAACAUGGAAUCAAGCUAUAGGAAGUUAGAAAACUUGGAGCAAGAGAGACCUGAAGAGCCACUCCCGCACAGAAGGACUCACGCUUUCUCACUGCACUUGGAUCCUGUGGCUGCCGUGGGAAGGGACUGAAACUAGUCGACUGGAAAUCAACAGGCCAUGUGAAGAAAAACAGAGGUCACAGCCCCAGCAGUCAGUAAGCCCAGAUCUUACCACUGACACACGCGUGGGCUCAACCAAGAUCACGGGAGCCUGCCUCAGACCAGGUGGACCACCUGGCUAAAUGGAUUUUUUUUUUUUUAACUGCAAGCUUUGGUGUCAUUUUUGUUAUUCUGUCACUCAG